CUUGCACACAGGAUUUGUAACUGAUUAGCCUACAUAGGCCUUCUAAAGAAGUCUCAGGGGCAAGGCAAAAAGGACACCUGCAAGAUGUGUGGGCCAGGAGCUGAUAAUUCACCCUCAUGGUGUCAGCCCCAGCUGCAGAAGACCUUUUGAAGUAGGAGAGAAAGGCUUUGGAGAUGCUAAUUCCAGAAAGAUCCCCACAACAUUCGCACUGCUUCCAGUUCAUGAUUGUGUGCUCUCAGCUUCCUGCUCCUGCCACCAGGCUUGCCUGCUGCCUGCCAUGCUUCCCCACCGCAACGGACUCUUAUCC
rnacentral:lncRNA from 1 species